UGAAACAAGGGAAAACGUUGGCAGCAGUAAAGAAUUUUAUGCAAUAUACGAAAGUAAGACAUAGGCAGAACCUUUUAACCUGUCAAAUUAAGUGCCAGCAGACGCGGUGAAACUUAAGGGUUUGUUUUUUAGAAAAAGCAGAAAGCGUGUAAAGGUAAAACAUUUAAAAUAAAUAGAAUUUUUUUAGUAAUAGUGCAAUAUUAAAAGAAAAAAAAGAAUUUUUUAUGUGAAGACAAUUUAUUUUUUUCUUUAACACGAAGGUUCUGGGAGCAAACAGGAUUAGAGACCCUGGUAGUCGAUACAGUAAAAGAAAGUCGCUUGAGUAGUACGGUCGCAAGAUUAAAAUUCAAAAAACUUGGCUGUUCAUUGUUAUUUAGAGGAGCGCGUUGCUUAAUUCGAUAGCCCGCGAGUUACCUUACCAAAACUAGCUUUUUCAGGUGUUGCAUGGCCGUCGUCAAUUUAUGUUUGAUACAAUAGAUUAAACCCUAGAAAGGUUGAAGUCAGGUAUUAUUGCCUUUAUGUUUUGGGGUUCGAUGCGCUACAUUUUUUUUUUUAAUAAAAAAAAAGAGUUCGGAUUGUCUUUAAAAGAGGAUGAUGAAGGGGGAUUUAAUAGUAAUUGAAAAGUAGAGCGUUUCAAUGAAUUUGCCGCAAUGUUAGUACAAAUUGCCCGUCGCCUCUGCUGAUGGAAACAAAGUA
rnacentral:rRNA from 1 species